rnacentral:lncRNA from 1 species
CAGAGACCUAUGUCUCAGUCCAGGACAGUGCCCAGGUGCUGGGUGGGAAGGCCCAUAAAAGAGAAGAUAGUGUAGGAGCAGUAGAAUUGAGCAUGGCUGCAUGAAGUGUCCAGAUGGAGGGGCUGGAGGAGCCUCACAGAGGGAGUCUCUAUAGCCUUGUCCUUGGAGGCAACAGCUGGAUGCUUUCUGGUACAGUGACAAUAGUGCAGAUGCUGCACCACUAUUGGAAGACCUAGGGAUGGCUUGGAUGAAGACAAGGACUGCUUCGAUGGAUAGAGAGGCUGGAGUGCAGUGAUGCAAUCAUAGCUCAUGGCAGCCUCAAACUCUUGGACUCAAGCAAGCCUCCCAUCUCAGCAUCCUGUGUAGUUGGGACUACAAGUGCACACCACUAUGCCCUUGUUAAAAAAAAAUGUAUGCUGCCCAGGCUGGUCUCUCUGAAUGAUAGAGGUUACAUUUAGCACUCAUGUUGAAAUAGAGUGUCAAAAUAAAAUUUAGAUUUUUUCAGAAAAAGUUGUCUCUUUUUCACAUGUAGCUUUGGGGAAUGAGAAAUUCAAGUUGCUACAGUACAGACCCAUCUUUCCUGUUCUGAUAGAGGAAGAGUUUUGCUGAGGAGUAGGGGCAAGAACUGUCCCUCUCUUCAAAUUUUCAAAGAGGGAAGGGAGUUCUCCUCCAUUGCCUUUAAAGUUUCUGCAUUUAAUGAAUGCAAG